UCCGGUGGAUAUAACGAAGAGGUCACACCUGUUCCCAUCCCGAACACAGCAGUUAAGCUCUUUUGUGCCGACAAUACUUGGCUGGUAACGGCCCGGGAAGAUAGGUCUCCGCCGGAU
rnacentral:rRNA from 1 species